GUGAGGAAUAUUGGACAAUGGGCGCAAGCCUGAUCCAGCCAUGCCGCGUGCAGGAAGACGCAUCUAUGGUGUGUAAACUGCUUUUGUACGGGAAGAAACACUCCCUCGUGAGGGAGCUUGACGGUACCGUAAGAAUAAGGAUCGGCUAACUCCGUGCCAGCAGCCGCGUUAAUACGGAGGAUCCAAGCGUUAUCCGGAAUCAUUGGGUUUAAAGGGUCGGUAGGCGGGUUAAUAAGUCAGUGGUGAAAGCCCAUCGCUCAACGAUGGAACGGCCAUUGAUACUGUUAGACUUGAAUUACAAGGAAGUAACUAGAAUAUGUAGUGUAGCGGUGAAAUGCUUAGAUAUUACAUGGAAUACCAAUUGCGAAGGCAGGUUACUACUUGUGGAUUGACGCUGAUGGACGAAAGCGUGGGGAGCGAACAGGAUUAGAAACCCCAGUAGUCC
rnacentral:rRNA from 1 species